CGCGGCGAUGGCGAAGCUGCGCACGCUGUUUCAGGGCAACCGCUUUGCAAAGUCCGCGGUUGAAACCGCCUUGUUCGAUGCCCAGGCGCAGCGUC
rnacentral:tRNA from 1 species